CUAUGCGCCUUGCCAGCCCCGCUCAGAAACUUAAAGGAAUUGACGGGGGCCCGCACAAGCGGUGAAGCAUGUGGUUUAAUUCGACGCAACGCGAAGAACCUUACCUGGGCUAGACAACGGUGGACAUCCCCAGAGAUGGGGCUUUCCCUUCGGGGACUGCCGGUUCAGGUGCUGCAUGGCUGUCGUCAGCUCGUGUCGUGAGAUGUUGGGUUAAGUCCCGCAACGAGCGCAACCCCCGCCUUUAGUUGCUACCGGGUCAUGCCGAGCACUCUAAAGGGACCGCCGGCGUUAAGUCGGAGGAAGGUGGGGAUGACGUCAAGUCCUCAUGGCCCUUAUGUCCAGGGCUACACACGUGCUACAAUGGACGGUACAGAGGGUCGCCAACCCGCGAGGGGGAGCUAACUCUCACAAAGCCGUUCGUAGUCCGGAUUGCAGUCUGCAACUCGACUGCAUGAAGUCGGAAUCGCUAGUAAUCGCGGAUCAGCUACGCCGCGGUAGAAUACGUUCCCGGCCUU
rnacentral:rRNA from 1 species